rnacentral:piRNA from 1 species
UAGCAUCAACCCAGUGCAUGAUGCGCAAAGU